rnacentral:rRNA from 1 species
GACAGAGGGUGCAAACGUUGCUCGGAAUUACUGGGCGUAAAGCGCGUGUAGGCGGGACGGUAAGUCAGGUGUGAAAUCCCUAGGCUCAACCUAGGAACUGCAUUUGAAACUGUCGGCCUUGAGUGAUGGAGAGGAUGGCGGAAUUCCUGGUGUAGAGGUGAAAUUCGUAGAUAUCAGGAGGAACACCGGUGGCGAAGGCGGCCAUCUGGAAAUCUACUGACGCUGAGACGCGAAAGCGUGGGGAGCAAACAGG